GGGCCCGCACAAGCGGUGGAGUAUGUGGUUUAAUUCGAUGCAACGCGAAGAACCUUACCAGGGUUUGACAUCCUGCGAAUCUCUUGGAAACAGGAGAGUGCCUUCGGGAACGCAGUGACAGGUGGUGCAUGGCUGUCGUCAGCUCGUGUCGUGAGAUGUUGGGUUAAGUCCCGCAACGAGCGCAACCCACGUCUUUAGUUGCCAGCGGGUAAUGCCGGGGACUCUAGCGAGACUGCCGUUGUUAAAACGGAGGAAGGUGGGGACGACGUCAAGUCAUCAUGGCCCUUAUGGCUAGGGCUACACACGUGCUACAAUGGUCCGUACAAAGGGCAGCAAGUUCGCGAGGACAAGCAAAUCCCAUAAACCGUGGCUCAGUUCAGAUCGUAGGCUGCAACUCGCCUACGUGAAGGCGGAAUCGCUAGUAAUCGC
rnacentral:rRNA from 1 species